rnacentral:piRNA from 1 species
UGGGUGCUCAGUUGUACCUUCUCGCACUGCC